GACGAACGCUGGCGGCGUGCCUAACACAUGCAAGUCGAACGGAACUUUUUUAAAAGAUUUCUUCGGAAUGAAUUUGAUUAAGUUUAGUGGCGGACGGGUGAGUAACGCGUGAGUAACCUGCCUCUAAGAGGGGAAUAACAUUCUGAAAAGAAUGCUAAUACCGCAUAAUAUAUAUUUAUCGCAUGGUAGAUAUAUCAAAGAUUUAUCGCUUAGAGAUGGACUCGCGUCCGAUUAGUUAGUUGGUGAGGUAACGGCUCACCAAGACCGCGAUCGGUAGCCGGACUGAGAGGUUGAACGGCCACAUUGGGACUGAGACACGGCCCAGACUCCUACGGGAGGCAGCAGUGGGGGAUAUUGCGCAAUGGGGGAAACCCUGACGCAGCAACGCCGCGUGAAGGAUGAAGGUCUUCGGAUUGUAAACUUCUUUUAUUAAGGACGAAGAAAGUGACG
rnacentral:rRNA from 1 species